UUUAAUGUGGCGGAAUUUUACGCGGUAAACUUAAAAUUUACAUAUGUAGCUCAGGCUUCCUUUAAAA
rnacentral:tRNA from 1 species